AAGACUCCUAACCCCUCCGUAACUAAUGCCCUGCUGCUAAUCUGACUGCACCCUCGGGACGAGGGAUUCUCAACAGGUUUGGGAACAGUGAAGAAACCCCUGGUUCCAUGUCUUGUUGGGUUCAGGUGUCUGUCACAGUAACGCAGCCUCGUGCACGAGGAUACCGGGUACCCUUAAUGUUUGCAACACAACACUCCCCCUAGUUUCACAAUGACCUCACGGCCGAGGUGCUCCAGCACAGUGACAUCAACUGGCACCCAGGAAAGGUUAACAUUUGAAAGGCUGCACGUCCAGACACAAGGGUGCAGACCAGCAUGUCCAGACCAUCUGCUGUCUCCAGAGAUGUCUUCAACCUCUCCCUGACCCUGUCCGUCCAAUAUCUCUCCAACAUCUUAUGCUGUCAGGCCCCGACUCCUGAGCCCAGGAAUGCAAAGGCAACUUGCGUCUAUGGCAACCACCCAGCAGCACCCACAUCUGUUGCUAUGACACCUUUUGUGUCGCCAUGACAUUUUGAAAUGCUUGUGAUGGAUCAGAUCAGUGGCGUCACGCUGGACGUCCUGCCCCAAAACAGAGCCACAGGGAACGCAUUCUCAGUUCCACUCUACACUGCCCUGUCCCACCUGGAAAAGAGGAAUACCUGCAGCACCUUCCAAAAACUGUAGUGACUUACUUUAUAAAAGAUUGUUGCAGUCAAUCUUCACAAAAUACCCCAUAACAACCAAGUUAAAAUAUGUUUUUAGAAAU